CCAGUUUUGCUGUACAGAAAUCCAAAGCCAGCUGGGCACAGUGGCUCAUGCCCAUAAUUCUAGCACUUUGGGAGGCCAAGGCAGGAGGAUCGCUUGAGCCCAGGAGUUUGUGAGCAGCCUGAGCAACAUAGACCCCAUUCUCUAAGAAAAAAAAAAAUUCUUUUAAAUUAACCAGGCAUGUUGGCGUGCACCUGUAGUCCCAGCUAACUCAGAAGGCUGAGGCGAGAGGAUUGCUUGAGCCCAAGAGGUUGAGGCUGUGAGCUGUGAUCACACCACUGCACUUCAUCCUGGGCAACAAAGUGAGAGCUUGACUCAAAAAAUUUAAAAAAAGAAAUCCAAAGCCAUUCCAAUUCUUUAUCUUUUGUAUGUGACCUGUGUUUCUCUCCCUAGAAGCAUAUUGAAUCUUCCCAAUUUCCCAUUGACGUCCUUCAUGAGAACCCCGGCAAGCCUUGCUCUCCUCUGCCUGGUGUCCCAGAUCCACAGACCCUUUGUGUCUCCCUCACAAGGGAACACCCUCUCCCCAGCCCUGUGCUGAGAGGUGUGCAGGAGUCACAUGAGUGGGAUCCAAGUGCUUCUUGAACAACUUUAAUUCAUUCGUCUUUAUUUUUCUUCAGCUCUUAAGUGCUUUGAGGA
rnacentral:lncRNA from 10 species